UCGGCGGACCGGAUUGCUC
rnacentral:siRNA from 1 species